UAUAUAUAACUUAGGAUGGCGACGGACAAGUUGACCAUAUACCUGCACUAUGAAGAUACAAAUCAGGAAGCCAAAAUUUUACAAAGAUCCAUGAUGAGACGUGAUGUCUCGUAUUACGACUUAAUCUUGAUGAUCGAAGAAGUUGGCUUUCAGGCAAUUGACUUUCUGUACUAUGCAAAAAAAACCCGUCUAGGCAGCUCCUACUUAGUUCACAUUUAUGAUGAAGGUCUUGUGAUGAAAAUGUUGUCCGACCCUGAGAUUGUGAAAGCUGUCCAUCUGUAUGUGUCUAAGGAGAAGGCUGACGAUCAUAUUGCUCCGCCUAGCAAGCAAAUUGAUGUUGCUCCAUCUAACCAUCCAAAUGAGAGUGUUCUCUUACAGGACGGUGGUGUCUCUGCUGAAGCGGCAGGGCAACUUACUACGCAAGGGCCGCAAAGACCACCACGUAGGUCAAAAAGGUUGAAUGUGAUUCAGGUUACGGACCAACGUGAUGAUGAAGAUGGAGACUGCAACAAUGGUGAGCAAUUCCCACAAGGUCAUGAAUCACAAGCAUUGGUCGGUGAAGAGGGUCAAGUUCACAAUCAAGUAGACAAAGAAGUACGCAAGCGCAAGAGAACAAGCUUGCCAAUUGUCUGGAACAUGCCAAAGGGGCAGAGAAUAGUUGUGAAAUGCAAUGAAGAUAGCCAGCCUAUAGGAGAUGAAGGUGCAAUCUUGGGGAAGUUUCUGGGCACGGUUGCUAGAAAUGGAGGAUUUUGCCCACUAAACAUAAAUGAUUGGCGUCAUGUCAAAAAGAAUAGUGGUGAGGAAACAAUAUUGCAGUGCGUACAGACAAAGUUCGUGUAUCCUCGAUCAUGUGAAAAAUGGAUACUCAAAUCAAUUGGAAGAGACUGGAGGAAAUUUAAGUCUAGUUUGAAAGAUGCUUUCUUCAAACCCGCCAUUGAAAAAAAUCCAAACAUCAAGCGAAAGGCUUUGUAUAAGCUCUGUCCAGAAGAUGUGGACGACGUCAAUGGUGUGGGCUUGUUAAAUAUUGGAAGUCCAAAAAAGGAAGGGACCUUGCUGAGAAGAACAUAAUUAGUCGUUCCCUCGUGAAGGAUUCACAUAAUGCUGGCGCAAAGAGUUAUGCUUGUUGGGGCGAAGACAUGAGGCAAGCUGAUCCUGAAAAGAAACGACCACACAGAUCAAAGGUUUAUUUAGCAACUCACAAGAAGAAGGACGAUGUUGAUGCUAAAAAUAAAGAUAGAAAUAAGCGCCUGGAUCGAUUGGAGAAUCUAAUAACCGAACGACCAGAGUUGGCACAAAAUUUGAAUGGAAGAGUCGCAUGGGAAGGUGAUGCCCUGCAGGAAGUGUUAGGGAAAGAAAAGAUUGGACAAGUGCAUGGCAUGGGUUUGCUUCCAACUCCUAAGCAAGUCUACGGUCGGAUGCCACGGUAUCUAAAGAACAUCAAUAUGACUACAACUGAUGGAUCACCAUAUGAAGUUGAACAUGACGUUUGGGAGGUAAUAGCAAAGAUGAAGGAGCAUAUAAAAAAGCAAGACCAGAUUAUUAAAGAUAUGAAUAACAAAGAAGGCUAUGUCAAUAAUGGCAUAGAAGAGGAAAACCUCCAAUCAAAUGAUAAUGGUAUUUCUCGGUCACCAGUACUGCUUGGUAAAACAAAGAGAACCCAGUGCAAUGGACCCGUUGAGGCACGCUCGUCUAUGCAACAUGACAUUCCUGAGGAUAAUAAUUUAUCACGUUUGCAUGAAAAGGUUGGCGACCAUGAUGUCAACCAAUUACAAAUUCAACAAAAUUCAUCAUCACCACAAGACCUUGUUAUUGAUUCCGUGCUAGAGGUGAGGGAAAUGAGGAAUAUUACGGGUGAAUCUGUUUCAAGACCGAACCAGCAAAGGACUAGAACUGAACACCCACACCGCUCAAAAAGAAGGCGUUCUUCUUCCAUCAAGGUAAAGAUUCACCAAGUAGCAUGGUUUACUGCACCCAAAUUAACAACCCAAACCCUCAUUAUCAUGUCUGCUUGAAAAAUGG